rfam:Salmo salar isolate Sally breed double haploid chromosome ssa12, whole genome shotgun sequence.
UGCACUCACUACUGUAAGUUUCUCUGGAUAAGAGCAUCUGCUAAAUUACAAAAA